AAAGCCUGAUGCAGCGACGCCGCGUGGGGGAUGACGGUCUUCGGAUUGUAAACCCCUUUCAGUAGGGACGAAGCGCAAGUGACGGUACCUGCAGAAGAAGCACCGGCUAACUACGUGCCAGCAGCCGCGGUAAUACGUAGGGUGCGAGCGUUGUCCGGAAUUACUGGGCGUAAAGAGCUCUUAAGGGGUUUGUCGCGUGGGCAGUGAAAUCCUUCAGCUUAACUGGGGGCGUGCAGGCUAUACGGGCAGACUUGAGUACUACAGGGGAGACUGGAAUUCCUGGUGUAGCGGUGAAAUGCGCAGAUAUCAGGAGGAACACCGGUGGCGAAGGCGGGUCUCUGGGUAGUAACUGACGCUGAGGAGCGAAAGCAUGGGUAGCGAACAGGAUUAGAUACCCUGGUAGUCCAUGCCGUAAACGGUGGGCGCUAGGUGUGGGGUCCUUCCACGGACUCCGUGCCGUACCUAACGCAUUAAGCGCCCCGCCUGGG
rnacentral:rRNA from 1 species